AACGAACGCUGGCGGCAGGCCUAACACAUGCAAGUCGAGCGCCCUUUCGGGGGAGCGGCGGCCGGGUGAGUAACGCGUGGGAAUAUGCCCUUCUCUACGGAAUAGCCUCGGGAAACUGAGAGUAAUACCGUAUACGCCCUGUGGGGGAAAGAUUUAUCGGGGAAGGAUUAGCCCGCGUUGGAUUAGGUAGUUGGUAGGGUAAUGGCCUACCAAGCCGACGAUCCAUAGCUGGUUUGAGAGGAUGAUCAGCCACACUGGGACUGAGACACGGCCCAGACUCCUACGGGAGGCAGCAGUGGGGAAUCUUAGACAAUGGGGGCAACCCUGAUCGAGCCAUGCCGCGUGAGUGAUGAAGGCCUUAGGGUUGUAAAGCUCUUUCAGCUGGGAAGAUAAUGACGGUACCAGCAGAAGAAGCCCCGGCUAACUCCGUG
rnacentral:rRNA from 1 species